rnacentral:rRNA from 1 species
AAUGAACGUUGGCGGCGUGGAUUAGGCAUGCAAGUCGUACGAGAAUCGUAGCAAUACGAGGAAAGUGGCGGAAGGGAGAGGAUUACGUGGGAAUCUACCCUCAGAACUGGGAUAGCGGCGGGAAACUGCCGGUAAUACCAGAUAAUGUCUGUGGACCAAAGGUGUGAUUCCGUCUGGGGAUGAGCCCACGUCCUAUUAGCUAGUUGGCAGGGUAAUGGCCUACCAAGGCAAUGAUGGGUAGCGGGUGUGAGAGCAUGACCCGCCUCACUGGGACUGAGAACUGCCCAGACACCUACGGGUGGCUGCAGUCGAGAGUCUUCGGCAAUGAGCGCAAGCUUGACCGAGCGACGCCGCGUGCGGGAUGAAGGCCUUCGGGUUGUAAACCGCUGUCGUAGGGGAGCAAGAGAUGAGGGUACUCCCUCUGAUUUGAGCGAUCCUAGGAGGAAGGACUGGCUAAGUUCGUGCCAGCCGCCGCCGUAAAAC